GGGGAAUAUUGGACAAUGGGCGCAAGCCUGAUCCAGCCAUGCCGCGUGGGUGAAGAAGGCCUUCGGGUUGUAAACCUCUUUCAGCAGGGACGAAGCGUGAGUGACGGUACCUGCAGAAGAAGCACCGGCUAACUACGUGCCAGCAGCCGCGGUAAUACGUAGGGUGCGAGCGUUGUCCGGAAUUACAGGGCGUAAAGAGUUCGUAGGCGGUUUGUCGCGUCGUUUGUGAAAACCCGGGGCUCAACUUCGGGCUUGCAGGCGAUACGGGCAGACUUGAGUGUUUCAGGGGAGACUGGAAUUCCUGGUGUAGCGGUGAAAUGCGCAGAUAUCAGGAGGAACACCGGUGGCGAAGGCGGGUCUCUGGGAAACAACUGACGCUGAGGAACGAAAGCGUGGGUAGCAAACA
rnacentral:rRNA from 1 species